CAGUAGUUAGUUAGACUUCAAACUCUGCAGCACGAAGCGCUGCGUGUCCGGGACGUCACCGUGACGUAGCGGCCCGGUCACGUGACGGGAAGUGGAGCUCCGGCAGUAAAGUUAGUUUUUUGCUACAGUAAGUGUGAAAAACCUCACCAUCGGCACGUCUUCCAGACGGUCGAAGUUGGACCUUGGUGACUGGAUACAUUUCACUACAGCGACAAUCAGAGCAAGGAUGAGAGUGAUGGAGAAGAUGACGAUGACGGCCACCAAGCCAGGGUUCGCUGCCAAGUCACCUUUUCCCCACUGGUGCGGAAGAGCUGAGACAGAAAGGGAGGGGUGACCUUCUCACUCACCCGUCCUGCUCCACUCUCGGACCCGGUCUGGCUCCCUGCGGAUCUGCCAGGUCUGCUGCAGGACGUCGGCCAGCGCCAGCGUCCCUCCUCCACUCAGCGUGUUGGUGAGGAGCAGACAGCGUCCCUGGAAGAGCAGCCGCAUGUGGGAUCCUAAUCGAAGCACAAACGCUUUACCUGUUGGUGGAAGCAUGUCUGGUCCUCAGACAGAGUGGUGUCAUGUGAGAAGACAAGGGUGAGAAGGGAGCAGCAGUUUGCUGAACAUGCCUGCAACAAAACCCUCCACUAACGGAGGCUGGAGUCAUUUGCAAAGUGUAAACAUCCUGAAGGCCAUAACCAACAUGCGUGUCUACUGUCAGUGAUCUAAGUUGUUUGUUUUUAGCCCAUUCAAUAAUUUCAUGUACAGUCAGUGCUCAAUUUUAGGCUUUUACUAUAAUAUGAUUAUGAGACAUGCAUCUGAAUGUAUUGGGAGCAGCAUCAUCAUGCAGCAGUGAUCCAAAACACUGAGUCUCACCAAUUAGCAUAACGUCACCUAACAGGAUUUUAUGUAUGUUAUACAUGAAGUUCCUUGUUUACAGUAAAGCUUCAACAAAAUCGAAAAGAUCAAAUAAAAAUCUAAAAAUGAGCGCCAACAUUUGUCUUCACAUUAUCAUCAUUCAUAAUAUGCUUUGCA